UAAUACGGAGGGUGCAAGCGUUAUCCGGAUUUACUGGGUUUAAAGGGUGCGUAGGUGGGUCUGUAAGUCAGUGGUGAAAUCUCCGAGCUUAACUCGGAAACUGCCAUUGAUACUAUAGGUCUUGAAUUAUCUGGAGGUAAGCGGAAUAUGUCAUGUAGCGGUGAAAUGCUUAGAUAUGACAUAGAACACCAAUUGCGAAGGCAGCUUACUACGGAUAUAUUGACACUGAGGCACGAAAGCGUGGGGAUCAAACAGGAUUAGAUACCCUGGUAGUCCACGCCCUAAACGAUGGAUACUCGACAUCAGCGAUACACUGUUGGUGUCUGAGCGAAAGCAUUAAGUAUCCCACCUGGGAAGUACGAUCGCAAGAUUG
rnacentral:rRNA from 1 species